ACACGUUCCAAAAAAGCUGGGACAGGGUCAUGUUUACCACUGUGUUACAUCACCUUUUCUUUUAACAAAAUUCAAUAAACGUUUGGGAACUGAGGACACUAAUUGUUGAACCUUUGUAGGUGGAAUUCUUUCCCAUUCUUGCUUGAUGUACAGCUUCAACUGUUCAACAGUCCGGGGUCUCCGUUGUCGUAUUUUACGCUUCAUAAUGCGCCACACAUUUUCAUUGGGAGACAGGUCUGGACUGCAGGCAGGCCAGUCUCGUACCUGCACUCUUUUACUACGAAGCCACACUGUUGUAACACGUGUUGAAUGUGGUUUGGCAUUCUCUUGCUGAAAUAAGCAGGGGCGUCCGUGAAAAAGAUGUUGCUUGGAUGGCAGUAUAUGUUUCUCCAAAACCUGUAUGUACCUUUCAUCAUUAAUGGUGCCUUCACAGAUGUGUAAGUUACUCAUGCCAUUGGCACUAACACAGCCCCAUACCAAUUUGAAAUGUGGACUCGUCGGACCACAGAACACUUUUCCACUUUGUAUCAGUCCGUCUUAGAGAAGGGCUCAGAGAAGCCGGCGGCGUUUCUCAAUGUUGCUGAUAAAUGGCUUUUGCUUUGCAUAGUAGAGUUUCAAGUUGCACUUACGGAUGUAGUGGCGAACUGUAUUUAUUGACAUUGGUUUUCUGAAGUGUUCCUGAGCCCAUGUGGUGAUAUCCUUUCCACAUUGAUGUCGGUUUUUGAUGCAGUGCUGCCUGAGGGAUCGAAGGUCAUGGGCAUUCAAUGUUGGUUUUUGGCCUUGCCGCUUACAUGCAGGGAUUUCUCCAGAUUCUCUGAACCUUUUGAUGAUAUUAUGGACCGUAGAUGAUGAAAUCUCUAAAUUCCUUGCAAUUGUACGUUGAGGAACAUUGUCCUUAAACUGUUGGACUAUUUACUCACGUGCUUGUUCACAAAGAGGUGAACCUUGCCCCAUCUUUGCUUGUGAAUGACAGAGCAAUUUAGGGAAGCUCCUUUUCUACCCAAUCAUGGCACCCACCUGUUCCCAAUUAGCGUGUUCACCUGUGGGAUGUUCCAAACAGGUGUUUGAUGAGCAUUCCUCAACUUUCUCAGUCUUUUUUGCCACCUGUCCCAACUUUCUUGGAACGUGUUGCAGCCAUAAAAUUCUAAGUAAAUGAUUAUUUGCUAAAAACAAUAAAAUUGAUCAGUUUGAACAUUAAAUAUCUUGUCUUUGUAGUGUAUUCAAUUAAAUAUAGGUUGAACAUGAUUUGCAAAUCAUUGUAUUCUGUUUUUAUUUAUGUUUAACAUAAUAUCCCAACUUCAUUGGAAUUGGGGUUGUAUUAAUAUCCUGUUUAACAUGCUAUGGCACGCAUUUUUGACCUACGCUUGAAUGCGUUGUAGUGUGUUCGUGUGAGCCAUGUAUGCCAUGCCACGAACCACGCAAUCUUUUCCAUUUAAAUUUUCUGUACCGCCUAUCCUCACUCGGACCGCGGCCGUGCUGGAGACUAUCCCAGUUAUCUUUGUGCGAGAGGCGGGGUGCACCCUGAACUGGUCGCCAGACAAUUGCAGGGCAGAUAUAAAAAUAAAAAAAACAACCAUUUGCACUCACAUUCACACUUACGGGCGAUUUAGAGUCUUCAAUUAACCUACCAUGCAUGUUCUUGGGAUGUGGCAGGAAACCAGAGUACCCAGAGAAAACACAAGCAGGAACGGGAAGAACAUGCAAACUUCUCACAGUGGAGGCCAGAUUAGAACCCAGGUCCUCAGAACUGUGAGGCAGAUGCAUUAACCAGUCUCCACCCUGCCGCAUUUCAUACACAAGGGUCAUUGUUUUCUGAGUAUGGUCAGCCGAAGUAGAAAAUAAAGCAAUUGGAGGAAUAGAAGUGACAGAACACAAGCAUUAUAUUGCUAAAUUGUAUUGACAACUGAUGGUGAUGAGAUUUUAGUAACUUCCAGAAAAAGUGAAAAAGCAAUUCAAGAAGGAUCCAUUUGUGUUGCUUGAUGUGUAUCCCUUUGCCGUCUCAACGUACUCUUUUGUCCAUGCGACAGUACAAGGACAUUGACACUAUCAAGGCAGAAAUCUGGGGAAAUAAGAUAUUAAAAUCAUGUUUAAUCUGUUGUUAUGUAUUUUCUGGGAGGGCGGGGGCGUUUUAACAGAAUAUGCAAACAGAAUUUUUUUUAUGUAACGUAAACACAAUAUUUCACACAGUAUGUCCAAGAAUUACAGUGUUUUUUCGUUCGGCCAUUGCGGUUUCUUGAAUAUUUAAUUGCCGUUCCAAUGCAACGUAUACUGUAGGGUCUUCGCGUUUUGUGGUCACAGCCCCAUAUAUUGUUAUAUACAGUUGUAGUGACUCUGACCCAGUUGCCAGAUUGGCCCCCACCCGCCACCUUGAUAAACUGCAUUCUUCCAAGCGGCCCUGCUGUGAGACUGCCCCAAGAAGACGCCUAGUGGACCCUAAACUAAUUAACAUCUACCCUCGAAGUCUGAACUCCCAAGCAUCAAUGGCCCCCAGAUGUUUCCACCGGACCAACUGUCUUUGAAUAGGAACAAUUGCUGGGACUUGGCGACACCUGCUGGCGUCGAGAGGAACUGCAAAGUCGAACAGGGGGACUCUCAUUUGAUGUUUCACCAAAGGAUAAAUAUGUGUUUUGAUAUGUUAUGAACUCUGCCGAAUUAUUCCAAAUGUAUGCCUUGAUGUCUGUGUCAGUGUGUCAACUGUACAAACGCAGCUGCGAACUGUUUGUCUUGAUUUGACUCCAAGCAGCAUGAAAUGUGAUUUGUAUCAUAAGCAGUGGAUUUGCCAGUAUAUAAGUAUAAACAGCCGGCACGGUGAACAACUGGUUAGCACAUUUGCAGUUAUGGGGACUGGGGUUCAAAUCCCGGCCCCGCCUGUGUGGCGUUUGCAUGUUGCCCGUAGGUGUGAAUGUGAGUGCGAAUGGUUGUUUGUUUCUAUGUGCCCUGCGAUUGGCUGGCGACCGGUUCAGGGUGUCCUCCGUUUUCAACUUUAGUCCAACACACGAUGUUCUAUUUCCCUUUUUGUACUCCUAUUUUCCUUCCUUUUACCAUUAUUAGUGUUAUUUUCUUUCUUUAGUUAGACCCCUUUGUGUGUUUCCCUUUAUAUCCCUUGUAGAUUUCAUUAAAUAUACUAUAGAAUUCCA